CUCGAGUGACAACAAGAAAACCACAUGCUGUGUUGGAGUCACCCAUGUACGAGUUAAGGGCCAGGUCUCACAGUGUGCAUACGUCACUAAAAGAGGAAACUGCUCUGAGGCAUAUGUGCUUGUGAUGGAGGACGAAACACAACACUGUAUCGCUGUAAACACCAAAUGGAUCAAACGGACUUUAAAAGCCUUAGCGAUGAAAGGUAACCCGUGUGAGGGGACCACCAGGAGACUUCAUUAGAGGAAGUAAAGAGCAGCUGAACAAUUUGUCAGAUAUUCUUUCCCCACUUCCUGCACUGGUCACAUUCAUACUUUCCAAUCCACUGUCACCAUCCACGGAAAAGGAUUUAUCAAUGUAGGAAGAAGAGAUCAGCCUAUUCACAUCCUUUUACUCAAGAAUUCAGCUCUGAACUUUGUAUCCACUAACUAUUUAUUUUUAUAUAUUCUUAUAUAAAGUGUUUAAUUUAAUCC